rnacentral:rRNA from 1 species
CAGUCGCCGCGGUAAUACGGAGGGUGCAAGCGUUAAUCGGAAUUACUGGGCGUAAAGCGCACGCAGGCGGUCUGUCAAGUCAGAUGUGAAAUCCCCGGGCUUAACCUGGGAACUGCAUUUGAAACUGUCAGGCUGGAGUCUUGUAGAGGGGGGUAGAAUUCCAGGUGUAGCGGUGAAAUGCGUAGAGAUCGGGAGGAACAUCAGUGGCGAAGGCGGCCAUCUGGGACAACACUGACGCUGAGGCACGAAAGCGUGGGGAGCAAACAGGAUUAGAUACCCGAGUAGUCCCUGUCUCUUAUAC